UCAGAGUUUGAUCCUGGCUCAGGACGAACGCUGGCGGCGUGCCUAAUACAUGCAAGUCGAGCGGACCCUUCGGGGUUAGCGGCGGACGGGUGAGUAACACGUAGGCAACCUGCCUGUAAGACUGGGAUAACUACCGGAAACGGUAGCUAAGACCGGAUAAGUGAUUCUCUCGCAUGAGAGGAUCAAGAAACACGGGGCAACCUGUGGCUUACAGAUGGGCCUGCGGCGCAUUAGCUAGUUGGUGGGGUAACGGCUCACCAAGGCGACGAUGCGUAGCCGACCUGAGAGGGUGAUCGGCCACACUGGGACUGAGACACGGCCCAGACUCCUACGGGAGGCAGCAGUAGGGAAUCUUCCGCAAUGGACGCAAGUCUGACGGAGCAACGCCGCGUGAGUGAUGAAGGUUUUCGGAUCGUAAAGCUCUGUUGCCAGGGAAGAACGUCGUGG
rnacentral:rRNA from 1 species